GGGGCCUUAGCUCAGCUGGGAGAGCACCUGCUUUGCAAGCAAGGGGUCGUCGGUUCGAUCCCGACAGGCUCCACCAAUAUUGAGUGAAAAGACUUCCGGGUCUGUAGCUCAGGUGGUUAGAGCGCACCCCUGAUAAGGGUGAGGUCGGUAGUUCGAGUCUACCCAGACCCACCACUCUGAAUGUAGUGCACACUUAAGAAUUUAUACGGAUCAGCGUUGAGGCUGGUACGUGUUCUUUUAUAACUUGUGACGUAGCGAGCGUUUGAGAUAUCUAUCUAAACGUGUCGUUGAGGCUAAGGCGGGGACUUCGAGUCCCUAAAUAAUUGAGUCGUAUGUUCGCGUUGGUGGCUUUG
rnacentral:tRNA from 1 species